GAAAGUCGUGUGCAAUGAAAAAUGCAAGCACGGCUUUGGGAGGGAUUUAUUUAACAAAGAAAUUAUCUACUCCAU
rnacentral:ncRNA from 1 species